UUUUUUUGAUUUUCCCUCUUAAUCACUCCCAAAUUGCAAUAGUGACCUAAUUUCUGGUGACCUAAGACGUCUGAACUAGAUGAGUAGUUCAAUCGCUGGAGGUGGAAGGGAAGAUCUAGUUUCUUAGGAUGGACAGAAGGGCAAUCACAUCAUCUGGAACAAAGAAAGGUGAAUUUUUUCUUGCUGAUGUCAAUACACAAUUGAAGAAGGACAACAUUACUACUGAUGAUGGUUUAAUAUGACAAAAUCAGCUGAAAGCUUGAAUUAGUUGAUAAAUAAGCACACUUGUUAAUUAUCAGGGCCAGAUCUUAGGAUAGACUUCAGUUCAUGUUUAAUGCAGUUCACCAAGUACCACUGAUCAGAUAAUAUUCUUGGUUAGCUGGUCUACAAAGCGCUACACGGUCGGUUCUGAUCUACCUGUUUUGUCAGGGAAAAACAAGAUCGUGUAGUAUGUCUUGAUACAUAUAGCUGCAAUGAACAAAGAGAAUUAUGGAUGUCACCGAAUUUAUGGUAGAGCCGUUAUAAAUACAUUUAUCAAAUAAGUAGACGCUGCUUGCGCAUUGUACAUAAUUCCAGAGGGGCUAAUGAAAUCAUUCAAAGCAAACAUCAAAGUUGAGAAAUACCACUUGCUUGAAAUACGUAGAGAGAUUGAAGAGGAUCAUGAAAGAAAAAAACAGAAGACAUGGAUGCUAUUAUGCAGAAGGUUACGUAAUAACUAUUAGUUGGAGAUCGAGAUCACUAAAAUGUUUUUAUUAUUCUUUAUUAUUGUAAUUGACACUUUGUGUUGACUAUAUUGAUUUUUGAAUUUAGAUAAGUAUGUUAAAGUAGCCAUUUGACUAUCAAUGAUAUAUGUUUAUUAUUGUUUAGUGU
rnacentral:lncRNA from 1 species